rnacentral:rRNA from 1 species
UACGGGGGGGCAAGCGUUGUUUCGGAAUUACUGGGCGUAAAGGGUCCGUAGGUGGCCAACUAAGUCAGACGUGAAAUCCCUCAGCUUAACUGGGGAACUGCGUCUGAGACUGGAUGGCUCGAGUGCAGGAGAGGAAUGCGGAAUUCCAGGUGUAGCGGUGAAAUGCGUAGAUAUCUGGAGGAACACCGGUGGCGAAGGCGGCAUUCUGGACUGCAACUGACACUGAACGACGAAAGCCAGGGGAGCAAACGGG